rnacentral:rRNA from 1 species
AAACUUUCAACAACGGAUCUCUUGGUUCUGGCAUCGAUGAAGAACGCAGCGAAAUGCGAUAAGUAAUGUGAAUUGCAGAAUUCAGUGAAUCAUCGAGUCUUUGAACGCACAUUGCGCCCCUUGGUAUUCCGAGGGGCAUGCCUGUUCGAGCGUCAUUA